GAUGAACGCUGGCGGCGUGCCUAAUACAUGCAAGUCGAGCGAACAGACGAGGAGCUUGCUCCUCUGACGUUAGCGGCGGACGGGUGAGUAACACGUGGAUAACCUACCUAUAAGACUGGGAUAACUUCGGGAAACCGGAGCUAAUACCGGAUAAUAUAUUGAACCGCAUGGUUCAAUAGUGAAAGACGGUUUUGCUGUCACUUAUAGAUGGAUCCGCGCCGCAUUAGCUAGUUGGUAAGGUAACGGCUUACCAAGGCAACGAUGCGUAGCCGACCUGAGAGGGUGACCGGCCACACUGGAACUGAGACACGGUCCAGACUCCUACGGGAGGCAGCAGUAGGGAAUCUUCCGCAAUGGGCGAAAGCCUGACGGAGCAACGCAGCGUGAGUGAUGAAGGUCUUCGGAUCGUAAAACUCUGUUAUUAGGGAAGAACAAAUGUGUAAGUACCUAUGCACGUCUUGACGGUACCUAAUCAGAAAGCCACGGCUAACUACGUG
rnacentral:rRNA from 1 species